UGGGGAAUAUUGCACAAUGGGGGAAACCCUGAUGCAGCAACGCCGCGUGAGCGAAGAAGGCUUUCGAGUCGUAAAGCUCUGUCCUAAGGGAAGAAGAAUGACGGUACCUUAGGAGGAAGCCCCGGCUAACUACGUGCCAGCAGCCGCGGUAAUACGUAGGGGGCAAGCGUUAUCCGGAAUCACUGGGCGUAAAGGGUGCGUAGGCGGCUAAUCAAGCCAGAGGUGAAAGGCUACGGCUUAACCGUAGUAAGCCUUUGGAACUGAAUAGCUUGAGUGCAGGAGAGGAGAGUGGAAUUCCUAGUGUAGCGGUGAAAUGCGUAGAUAUUAGGAGGAACACCAGUGGCGAAGGCGACUCUCUGGACUGUAACUGACGCUGAGGCACGAAAGCGUGGGGAGCAAACAGG
rnacentral:rRNA from 1 species